rnacentral:lncRNA from 1 species
CCUUUCCCUACCAGUUAAAUAUCAGCCCUGUGCCAUGGACUGAGGAGAUAUGAAGAAGGAAAUCAACACAAGAUUGUGUUGGCACAAGAGAAAGCUGCUCUGAAUGGUGAGAACAGGAGUCAGCCCACCUAUCCUAAGUCAAAGGAACCCACCAGUUCCAAGGAGGAGGCACAGAUGAAAAGAAGAAAGGAAAGAAGUGAAAGAAGAAGAACAAGUGAGAGGUGGGAGGAGAAGGACAAGGAUGGUGGAGCUGAAGCAGGGUAGCACAAGCUGCCUUGUGAAUUACCAGAGUGAAGAAAUGGCCCCAAGGGACAUCAUCUUGAAGCCACGUGAGGAAAGACACAGCCACAUGAUUCUCUAUGAGUAAAUUGAGCCGAGAGGGAUAAAGAGACUUAUUCAAAAGACACAGUAGACACUAUUAAAGUUGGACUCCAGAACACAGAUUCCCUGACUCUUUCUACUAGAUAAAUCGCACUGCCUUCCUGCAAUGCUGCUCCCAAUGCAUGUCUCAUCCUUCAGAGAAUUCCAAAAGAAACCAUUCAAAGAGAAGUUGAAUACUGAGUGAAUCUGAGCUACUCUCCUGGACUUCUAAUCUCUGAAGAACAAAGUUUACCGGAAGAAAUUUGUGAAGUCAUUUGGCCUAUUUCGUGGGGCGCCAAUAAUAUUCAUAUAAUUUCAGCUGAAUUCUUGUUAAUCAGUAGCACACUCUUGACCUUUGUGAAAACAUCAGGCCAACUGAGUGGGCUCAAUUACAAAAGUGUCACUUCUUUUGUCUCUUUAGGCUCAAAUGGAAGGGAAUUUCUUUACCACAAUUCCUAAUAUGGAAACUGACAUCACAGAGGAUAAAAAGCUGCCGUUCUUUUGAAACACUAAACAUAUUCUCAUCUCAGGGUCUUUACUCUUGCUGUCCCUUCUACUUAUUUAUCCCAGAACUUCACAUGUCUUCCUCCUCCUCCCUCCACCUCAGGUCUCAACUCAAAUAUUAUUCCCUCCAAGAAGCCUUCUUUUGUUGCCUCGAUUAAAGCACCUUCCUGCUCAGCCCCAGCACUAAUCAUGUGUAUUGGGUUGAAAAGCAGCCCCCAAAAUUCAUGUCCAACCGGAACCUCAGAAUGUGACCUUAUUUGGAAAUAGGGUCUUUGCAGAUUUAACUAAGGUUAAGUGUAGAGUUGAGAUCAUACUAGGUGAGGAUGAGCCCUAAAUCCAAUGAGAGUGUCCUUAUAAGAGACAGAAAAGGACACAUGGAGAGACAGAGAAAAGAAGGCCAUAUAAAGAUGCAGACAGAGAUUGGAGUGGUGCGGCCACAGGCCACGGAACACGAGGAGCCAUGAGGAGCUAGAAGGGGCAAGAAAACUUUCUCCCUAGAGCCUUUCGAUGGAUUAUGGCCCUGGUACACCUUGAGUUCAGAUUUCUGGCCUUCUGAACUAUGAGAGAAUAAAUUCCUAUUGUUU